AAGUCGGACCGAGCGCAAUGUUGUUCCUCUAUUGAGGUUUUUCGAAUAUUGCACUUGUCCCGGCCUGC
rnacentral:pre_miRNA from 1 species